ACCACUAGGCCCUGCUAAGUAAAAAUUUCCUUUGUGUAUUGGUGAUUGAAUCCAAGGGCCCUUUACCACUGAGCUAUAGCUCAGUCUUUUUUUUAUUUUGAGACAGGAUCUUGCUAAAUUGUUGAGAGUCUUACUAAAUUGCUGAGACUGAUCUCAAGCUUGUGAUCUUCCUGCCUCAGCCUCCAGAGUCACUGGAUUAUACCAUGCCUAGCUAAAAAUGUUUUUAAAGACAGGAGCUGGGGUUGUGGCUCAGUGGUAGAGUGCUCGCCUUGCACGUGUGAGACCCUGGCUUUGAUCCUCAACACUGUAUAAAGAUAAAUAAGUGAAAUAAAGGUAUUGUCCAACUACAACUAAAAAGUAAGUAUUAAAAAAAAAGGACAGGGCCAGAGAGAUUAUUAUCAUUAUAAGUGUUUUGUGAUCAUUUGUACUUUUGAUAUAUUACAAUACCUCGUGGUGAUCCUCAAAGAAAUAAAAAAAAGGAAAAUGCAAUAUAAUGGGGACCAUAUAGAGGUAUUCAUAGAUGCAUAUAGUUCUAAGUCUGUCCCAUAUAGUAAUGGCUUACAUUGAUACCUCUUUACCAAUGAUAAUGUUAUGCUAUUGUAAAUGUCCACAGGUUGAAUUUCUCUUAUCUGAAAUGUUUGGGACUAGAAUUAUUUAGAUUCAGAGUUUUUAAUAUUUUGGGUGUAUUUAUAUACUGGUUAUACGUAAUCUGAAAAUCUGAAAUCCAAAAUAAUCUGUCUUGCAUUUAGGAGAAUUUUGGAGAUUAUUUUGCAUCUUGGAUUUUUAGAUUAGGUAUGUUCAACCUGUUAUAGAUUCUCUCACAUCUACAUUUUUCUGUAGGACCUAAUUUUGGAAGUUAUUCAUAAGAAACCCCUUGUGAAGUCACAUAUACAUUUUGUUGUCAUUGUUUAUAGGCAUCAUUUGUUCUAAUCACUUGUUGUCCUUUCC
rnacentral:lncRNA from 1 species